rnacentral:rRNA from 1 species
CGCACGGGUGAGUAACACGUAAGUAAUCUACCUUCGAGUGGGGAAUAACGUCGGGAAACCGACGCUAAUACCGCAUAAUGCAGCGGCACCUAAUGGUGACAGUUGUUAAAGGAGCAAUUCGCCUGAAGAGGAGCUUGCGGCAGAUUAGCUAGUUGGUAAGGUAACGGCUUACCAAGGCUACGAUCUGUAACCGGUCUAAGAGGACGGUCGGUCACACUGACACUGAAUAACGGGUCAG